AUUUCAUCGUCCAAUUUUUCGCCCCAUGUUGCAACCGUCUCAGGUUCUUCUCCAUUUUCAAACUUCGACUGUUCGACACUCCUUCGCAACGUAUCAACCUCGUCUACCACCGUGUUCAACGCUUUUUAAAAGUUGCCGUUCCAAUGCCACUAUAUUCGCAGAUGCCGUAACUGCCCCAGUUUUAUCCCUUGUAAAUACGAGAAGCU